UACGAAGGUCCCAAGCGUUAUUCGGAAUCAUUGGGCGUAAAGGGUGCGUAGGCGGUUUUGUAAGUCUUAUGUGAAAUCUAUGGGCUCAACUCAUAGACUGCAUGAGAAACUGCAGGGCUCGAGUGUGGGAGAGGUGAGUGGAAUUUCCGGUGUAGCGGUGAAAUGCGUAGAUAUCGGAAGGAACACCUGUGGCGAAAGCGGCUCACUGGACCACAACUGACGCUGAUGCACGAAAGCUAGGGGAGCAAACAGG
rnacentral:rRNA from 1 species